CUACAAGCAACUGCUGCCAUGAGCAAGAUCCCAGCCCACAAGGAAAGGUCUGCCCUAUAGAUCAUCCUGUACCAGAGAUCUACAGCAUAAUGGCCUGGAAGCAGUCUUUGUUUUGGAGCCAAGCCCAGCAAAGUCUCAAUUCCUUCCCCUUCAAUCGCCAUCUGGAUGAACAAGGCCAAGUCAUUGACCUUCUCUGGGCCUCAGUUUCCUCACCCAUAAACUGGAGUUAAACAUACCAAGACUUGAGGAAUUAUGUCCAAGGUUCCAGCAUUGAACAUGAAGAACGCAGGAUUUAUUGGCACGUCGUGAUAACCGUAAAGCCCACGCUUCUACUGCAGUGUUGAGUUUGCGUGCCCUUGGGACAGAAGACAGAAUAGAGGCUGAGAAAAUUGCUUGUUGGAAGAAUGAAUCCUGGGUCUGCUAUUACAAGAAACUUCUCAACUUCUAGC
rnacentral:lncRNA from 10 species